rnacentral:siRNA from 1 species
CACGCAUAAAUCGAGAAA